GUGCCAGCCGCCGCGGUAAUACGUAGGGGGCGAGCGUUGUCCGGAAUUACUGGGCGUAAAGGGUGCGUAGGCGGCCUGAGAAGUCAUGUGUGAAAUACCUGGGCUCAACCUGGGUGUUGCACAUGAAACUGGCGGGCUUGAGUGCAGGAGAGGGAAGUGGAAUUCCUAGUGUAGCGGUGAAAUGCGUAGAGAUUAGGAGGAACACCAGUGGCGAAGGCGGCUUCCUGGCCUGUAACUGACGCUGAGGCACGAAAGCGUGGGGAGCAAACAGGAUUAGAUACCCUGGUAGUCCACGCCGUAAACGAUGGAUACUAGGUGUAGGUGCUGAUUGAGGCAUCUGUGCCGUAGUUAACGCAAUAAGUAUCCCGCCUGGGGAGUACGGCCGCAAGGCUGAAACUCAAAUAAAUUGACGG
rnacentral:rRNA from 1 species